rnacentral:rRNA from 1 species
AGUGAACGCUGGCGGUAGGCCUAACACAUGCAAGUCGAACGGCAGCACAGUAAGAGCUUGCUCUUACGGGUGGCGAGUGGCGGACGGGUGAGGAAUACAUCGGAAUCUACUUUUUCGUGGGGGAUAACGUAGGGAAUCUUACGCUAAUACCGCAUACGACCUACGGGUGAAAGCAGGGGAUCUUCGGACCUUGCGCGAUUGAAUGAGCCGAUGUCGGAUUAGCUAGUUGGCGGGGUAAAGGCCCACCAAGGCGACGAUCCGUAGCUGGUCUGAGAGGAUGAUCAGCCACACUGGAACUGAGACACGGCCCAGACUCCUACGGGAGGCAGCAGUGGGGAAUAUUGGACAAUGGGCGCAAGCCUGAUCCAGCCAUACCGCGUGGGUGAAGAAGGCCUUCGGGUUGUAAAGCCCUUUUGUUGGGAAAGAAAAGCAGCAGGUUAAUACCCCGCUGUUCUGACGGUACCCAAAGAAUAAGCACCGGCUAACUUCGUG